rnacentral:piRNA from 2 species
UUCGAGAGCAUAUAAUGCCCCGAA